CCUACGGGUGGCAGCAGUGGGGAAUAUUGCACAAUGGGGGAAACCCUGAUGCAUCGACGCCGCGUGCGUGAUGAAGUAUUUCGGUAUGUAAAGCUCUAUCAGCAGGGAAGCAAAAAGACGGUACCUGACUAAGAAGCCCCGGCUAACGACGUUCCAGCAGCCGCGGUAAGACGUAGGGGGCAAGCGUUAUCCGGAUUUACUGGGGGUAAAGGGAGCGUAGACGGCGCGGCAAAUCUGAAGGUAAAGGCAGGGGCUUAACCCCUGAACAGCUUUGGAAACUGCCAAGCUAGAGUGCAAGAGAGGUAAGUGGAAUUCCUAGUGUAGCGGUGAAAUGCGUAGAGAUUAGGAGGAACACCAGUGGCGAAGGCGGCUUACUGGACAGUAACUGACGUUGAGGCUCGAAAGCGUGGGGAGCAAACAGGAUUAGAUACCCCUGUAGUC
rnacentral:rRNA from 1 species